UUGGUUUAAAAUUGGUUUAGAUCACGUUUAGAUGGCAUUUACGUCAAUCUAAACGUUUAGGAAUAUAUUCUAAACGAGUUCUGAAUAUUUAAUUUGCGUAGAAAAGCUUAACCAAACAUUUUCCGUACGAAACUAACUUAAUUCACACAUAAUGUGUCGGACAUUUUGAAUCUUUCAUUAUGAUUAAAAAUUAGAAUUUCUUAUGAAUCUUAAAUUAUGUAAUAAAUAGUUUAGAGGAGAUAAAAGAAAUUUGUUUUUAGUAUUAUAGUGUGGUUAAUGAAGCAGCUAAAAAAAAGUCGUAAAAAAGAUUGUAUGACUUCGGUAUCCGCAAUAUGGUAUCGUGCAUUGGUUCUCAUCAUAGAACGGCUCCCUUCUGGUGGAAAUAGGAAAGGUUAUGUCCUUUUUUCUAAUUCUUAAGACGAAGAGGCUUAAUCAGUUCAAGCAAAGAUGACAAUGAUUAUUAUGGAGCCGAUCACGAUGACGAAUACGAUAAUGCAUAUAAUAAUAAAUAAAAUGGUUUUACUUGUAUUUUAGACUUAUAUAAAUAAAGAAUUAUCUGUUUAA